AGUGCCCUACGGGACGCAGCAGUAGGGAAUUUUCGCCAAUGGGCGCUAGCCUGAACGAGCAAUGCCGCGUGAACGAGGAAGGUCUUCGGAUCGUAAAGUUCUGUUGAAGGGGAAAAAGAGCGGAGAGAGGAAAUGGUCUCCGAUUGAUAUUACCCUUCGAGGAAGUCACGGCUAACUACGUGCCAGCAGCCGCGGUAAUACGUAGGUGGCGAGCGUUAUCCGGAAUGAUUGGGCGUAAAGGGUGCGUAGGCGGCCUGCUAAGUCUGGAGUGGAAGGUACC
rnacentral:rRNA from 1 species